GAUGAACGCUGGCGGCGUGCCUAAUACAUGCAAGUCGAGCGAACAGAUGAGGAGCUUGCUCCUCUGACGUUAGCGGCGGACGGGUGAGUAACACGUGGAUAACCUACCUAUAAGACUGGGAUAACUUCGGGAAACCGGAGCUAAUACCGGAUAAUAUAUUGAACCGCAUGGUUCAAUAGUGAAAGACGGUUUUGCUGUCACUUAUAGAUGGAUCCGCGCCGCAUUAGCUAGUUGGUAAGGUAACGGCUUACCAAGGCAACGAUGCGUAGCCGACCUGAGAGGGUGAUAGGCCACACUGGAACUGAGACACGGUCCAGACUCUUACGGGAGGCAGCAGUAGGGAAUCUUCCGCAAUGGGCGAAAGCUUGACGGAGCAACGCCGCGUGAGUGAUGAAGGUCUUCGGAUCGUAAAACUCUGUUAUUAGGGAAGAACAAAUGUGUAAGUAACUAUGCACGUCUUGACGGUACCUAAUCAGAAAGCCACGGCUAACUACGUG
rnacentral:rRNA from 1 species